UACGUAGGUGGCAAGCGUUGUCCGGAUUUACUGGGCGUAAAGAGCGCGCAGGCGGCUGAUUAAGUCGAAUGUGAAAGCCCCCGGCUCAACUGGGGAGGGUCAUUCGAUACUGAUCAACUUGAAGGCAGGAGAGGGUAGUGGAAUUCCCGGUGUAGUGGUGAAAUGCGCAGAUAUCAGGAGGAACACCCGUGGCGAAAGCGGCUCUCUGGGACGGUACUGACGCUGAGACGCGAAAGCGUGGGGAGCAAACAGG
rnacentral:rRNA from 1 species